rnacentral:lncRNA from 10 species
ACUACCUGGAGUUAGACCAGACAUCACAGGUUCUCUGGACCUUCUUUCGGAUGCUUCCAGUUCCACAAAAUAGGCACUAAAAAAUUCAUUUUCUUAUGUCAGAGUCCCAGUUAUCAUUGUUAUGGUUUUGAGAAAGCUAUGAACUUUGCUUAUAUAAAUACUGAACAUUUUUCUUAAGGUUCUGCCUCUAGUACCAUGUUGCUGAAGUACCAGCCCUGGCUGGUAUACUCUGCAAACUUCUGACUUUCUAGUUUGACCCCCUAAAAAUAAAAACUUGGAAUCCUGAAUUUAAAAAAAGCUGAGAAGGUUUUACAUUGCAGGAAUUCUCAGAGCUUACACUAUGCUACUGUGCUUCGAAGAUCUCUAAGAGAGUUAAAAGACGCCCCGCUUUCCAAGAUUUUGACAAGGAACAAUGUAUCUACGGAGCAUCUUGAAGCAGUCACAUUCAGUGCAGAUACUUGGGGAGAUGCUUAUCUCCUUUAUAUGGUUUUACAAGGCCUUUCUCAACCCAACCUCCUCUCACCCAUCUGACCACAUCUCUCUGUUCCGCA